AGUGAACGCUGGCGGUAGGCCUAACACAUGCAAGUCGAACGGCAGCACAGUAAGAGCUUGCUCUUACGGGUGGCGAGUGGCGGACGGGUGAGGAAUACAUCGCAAUCUACUUUUUCGUGGGGGAUAACGUAGGGAAACUUACGCUAAUACCGCAUACGACCUACGGGUGAAAGCAGGGGAUCUUCGGACCUUGCGCGAGCGAACGAGCCGAUGUCGGAUUAGCUAGUUGGCGGGGUAAAGGCCCACCAAGGCGACGAUCCGUAGCUGGUCUGAGAGGAUGAAGACGCCCACUGGGACUGGGACACGGUCCAGGCUCCUAGGGGAGGCAGCAGUGGGGAAUAUUGGAAACAGGGCGCAAGCCUGAUCCAGCCGUGCCGCGUGGGUGAAGCAGGCCUUCGGGUUGUAAAGCCCUUUUGUUGGGGAAGAAAAGCAGCAGGUUAAUCCCCCGCUGUUCUGACGGUACCCAAAGAAUAAGCACCGGCUAACUUCGUG
rnacentral:rRNA from 1 species